rnacentral:tRNA from 1 species
GUCCUCGUAGCUCAGCUGGAUAGAGCGACCCCCUCCUAAGGGGUAGGUCAGAGGUUCAAAUCCCCCCGAGGACG